rnacentral:tRNA from 1 species
GAAUUUGAUCUAAGUUAGAAAAUUUGACCGAUAAUCAAAUUAAAAAGGUUAAAAUCCUUUCAAAUUCU